AUCGGCCGCUCGACGGCUAACCAUCAAAACAUCCCAAAAAAAAAUGAACAAAUAACCUGCGUCAGGAGGUCCAUCUCGCCCAGCAGGUCGCUGAACAUGGCGUCGAUGUCGUCCAUCUGUGUCAAGACACAAACGCCAAGGGCACCUGCAAUGACCUGGAAGUGAAGCCGGGUGAAGAUCAUGCAACAUUCCCGGGCCAGCACCCGACUGUGCAAACACUAACAUGUCAAACCCGAAGGGUGCGUCCGCUCCACGCGCCACAAGGAAGAGGAUGAAGUGCCGCCUCCACGAGUGAAAAUCAACGACGCGAGCGCAGUCGCAAGCGAAAGAACAAAAAAAAAAAAAAAAGCGACGGUGGCGAGCCGGUGGGAACGAGUCCAUGUAAAAGGCAGAAGGGCCUUUUUCCGCGACUGUCCGGGUCUCUUCGGCACUCGCGGCGCCGUGACAACUUCCGGCUCGAAGGCUCGCGGGCCACGUCGUUUACUCGAGGUCAAGAUGAGUUCACCGGGUUGGGGGACCGUCGGGAAAAUUCACCACGAAGAGCGACACCAGCGCAAACAUUCUCGACUAGUCACGAACGUCCGACAGAGAUUUGACGAAAGGCGGAUGGAGUUGUCAUGACAACCGACAAGCGAGGAAAGCGCGGAAGGAGCGGAGCAAAUUCCGAUCCGGGCACGGCACGGGACGGGACACUUUCGAACGCGACAUUUGGACGACAAGCGCGCUUCACGCUCGCAAAAUGUUUUUCAUAACCUGCGGGCCCGUUUUUUCCUCUCACAGGCGUGUUUGGUCUCGUUCUCAUUUGGACUUUUCAAUGUCAAGCACAAUUCAAGCUCAGGUGUUUUGCAGCCAUUUUGCACCCUCAGAGUGCAAAAUCGUCACGAGGACACACGCACGACGCGGCGAGCCGAGGGGCCCUUGCGCGCCGAAGCGUCGUCUUGGCCUCCGAGAAGAGGAAGCGCUCGAUGUCGUAACGCCAAAGGAAAAGCAUGACAGCGACGGCGAGCCUCAAGUACAAAUGAAAGCAAAGUAAAGGCACGACGGCUGAGGCUUUCUCAGAGGCCGCUGACCGCUCGACUUGCACCCAGAAACUUGCUCUCUGUACUCUGGCACAUUUUCAACUGCCGUACGUGGUGCGACAAAACGUGUCGCUGUACAACUUUAAAACACACACACACAAAAAAAAAAAAUUGUCCGGAGGGGGGAAGAUGUACUGCACAUUUUUCAGUUAGGCUAAUUUUGCUUUUUUAGGGUUAGCUUAACGAUGGCAAAAUGAUCUUCCAUCAUGUCAAGUUAUGCAUCGUCGUGACACCGAACGUCAAUUUCAUUAAAAGGGAACCGACGCUUUGACUUAACGUGAACAAACUUUCCGCGACUACCAGAAAUAUGUCACACUAGGAAGGAAAGUGCGAAAGGUGACACCCAGCCGACACGUCAAAAAACACAAGAUGGAGGAUGGAGGAGGUUUCGAAACAUUCUCCGCCAUUAUUGUCACCCGUAAGCCGUACAACUUCAUUUAAAAGGAAGUAUUUUAGACGGCUAUUCAAAAAAAAAAACUUAAAACACUGCGGUUGCAGAAGUGCGCACACCCCCUGGUAGGCAGUAACCCGUGUCUACAGCUCCGAGCUGCAAGUUGCAGAUGACGCUGGCUGUUAUUUGCGCCUUCUUGGCAACCGUCAGAGCUCAACGGUGACGACACGUUCCAGAAAAGAUUGCUUUUGUCAUUAUGAAUUGAUUGAACAGAGAUGGAGCCUGCGACUGGCGUGCGCAUCUUGCAGCGUGGAAGAGGAGCGAGGCUCCGGUCACGCACGCAUUGACGCAGGAUUGACCCCAAAACAGAAACUUCCUUUUUGUGUCUGUGUGCGCAUUUUUUUUUUUUUUUUCCUCAGAGAACCGUUUUGACAUCAUAAAUAUUUCAUGGCCUCGUGCUUUGUGAAAAUAUUGUG